CUCCGUAUCUUUGAAAAAGAGAGAGGAUAAAUAUCUGCGGUGACGGAAAUUGAAAUGAAAUGAGGUGUGAGAGGUUGCAGGAUAGACUGAAAGCAGCCACUUUUUGCCAUUACAAAGCUGUUAUCUGUGAAUCUCUGUGUAUCUCAGAGAGGUCUGUAAGCAUCAAUUGCAAUGAAAUGAGUACUUGAAAGUCAAAUAUUCCCUAAUGGGAAACAAACAAGAAGUUGCUCAAACUGUGGACAGAUGACUGUGACUUUUUUCCUAACACAAACAAAACCUACUGAAUUACGUGCAUGUGACUAUUUUGUUUGUAUUUCCACUGACUUCUGGAGCAUCUUAUCAUCUGUAGGGUGUGCAGCAGUGUGCCUGCUGAAGAGCUUCUGCGCUUACGGGCAAAAACAAACUGCUCAUUCGGAAGUGGAGGGAAGCCCUUAUCACCCAUUCUGAGGGUCUGCCACAGCUCUGCGGUCAAUGGAAAACAUCUCCAGAGGCUCAAGAUGUCAAGUACUCAAUAGACGGACUUCAUACACUGGUACAUCCCCACUUUGCAAAACUGUGUUGAGGUACUUAUGAGAGGAACGCUUCAGUCAAGAAGAGUUUCUUCUUCCAGUACUCACCCAAGAUCAGUUUCAUCCUAAAUGAUCCAAAUCUGAGGAUCAAGAGCAGCGGUUUCUCAAACAGUUUGACUCUAAAGCUAUUCAAUAGCGAUGGUAUAUAUUAUAAAUAAUUUAAUUUAAUUAAUAAAAUAUUUAUAUAAAAAUGCACAUACAUUUUAAAGUUUUGUUAAUUUACAUGACUUCUGCAGAUCUAGAAAUCACACUUUUAAAAUUAGGUCUCAUCCCUGGUUGAGAAACACCGAUCUAGAUGUCCAGCCAAACGGAUGAAGCAGUAGUUCAUAAAAAAGAAGAAAAAAGAAAAUAAAUAAUAAUGAUAAUCAGAAAUAAAAUUGUUUACUCACCCACAUUUUGCUCCAAAUCUCUCUGCUGCUAUUUUUCAGUGCAAUGCAAAAGGAGAAAUUUUGAAGGGGUGUGCGAUACUGAUAAAAAAAUGAUAUCUCUAUAUUUUCUGGAUUUUUGUAGACAACGAUAAUUAGAUCAUAUUUUGCUGAGUUUGUUAUUGUGCUGGUUCCUUGGCAGGUUUAGGACUGCCGUGAGCAGCUUUGAAAUUCUUCAUAUUCUGUGCAGUGGCUUGCAAGAGUAACAGAAAUUUACUUUUAAGUAGAAAUGGAUUUUUACCUUUUAUGGGCAUUUUUACCUUAAAAAGGCCAUUUUUGUAACCUAAUUAAAUGUAUGUCUCAUCUUUUGUGUCAAAUUCUUAAAUUUAAUCAGAUUCAAAUACUAAGACACUAUUGGGCUGUUACCAAUCAAAUGAAAUCAGUAUCAACAAAAUUUGUGUUUGCAAUGCAGAGGUGGCACAGAAUCUGCAUCUGAAGUGGCAUUUUCAGAUGCAUUUACACGCUGUUUAAUACAAGACAAUCAUGCAUUUAACUUGCAGUUACAAUUUCAUAAAUGUUUUGAUGUUGUUGUUUUUUUUUUUUCUUAAAGUUGAAUACUGAUAUUUGAAAUGAUUAUUGGGGGGAGGUAAAAAUGUACUUUAAAUAUGAGCGUAAAAUCGCCAGUAGGUGGUGGCAAAUCACUACAUGAGUGAGUGAGUCGUUGAGUCAUUUAUUCAUCUGAUUCGUUCAAAUGGCUAGUUGAUUCAGUAAGGAAACACCUUCGUGUGCUGCUCAGAGAGGCAAUGCAGGCUUUAUUUGGAACUAUUUUCGUUGUCGAAAUACAGCAAAAACAUCUCUCCUGGAACUUGCUCCAGCGAUCAUAAGAAGGCUCACGGCCUCUUCCCGCUGGCGGACAGCCUAAGCUGGGUAGAGUUUGCGUCCUUUUUCUGGGGCUGUCGGGCCACGUGUCGGUUGCAGAUGAAAAUGGAGAGGAAGGAGAAAGAGGUGUGCCUUCUGAUCCCGUCUCAGAUGACCACAGGUCCUUCCUCUCUUCCUCAGAGGAGAUGGCAGCAUGUCUUUAGAGGGUGGGAAAAGCAGCUCAUGGUGUCUGAUCAUCACUGUCAUUACCUUCUGUAUCAUGGGUGUUCCUGUGUGUAUGAGCUGCAGUGGCGGCAUCCAGCAUCAGAGUGCUGUCAAGGAAGUCCUCAUAUUGAGUCCAGGGCACAACAGGUUCAGGAAGCUCUCUGAGGUACAACUUAAGUAAGGACCCCACCGUGUGGACAUCAGUGUCACUGCAGGCAGAAGAUCUUCCCUGAUGGAGAGCACGGACCACUGUUCUCUCUCCUGGACCGCAGGCCCACACACAUUGCCCGGCUUCAGGCCUCACCCAUUGCUAUGACACACGCUGGGACGCAGGGGAAGGGAAGAGAGUCGCUUCAAACUCCCCAUGAAUUACCAAGGAGAUCAGAGCAGAGAUGCAAGAAGCUGUUUGCGUCAGGCCGAGCUGUUCUGCGUCAGGCUGAACUUUGAGACAUUAGUAAAAGGGACUGAUGAUCAUUCACGUUCAGCAGAACAGCUCCGCAGAUGCUAAAAUGUGCAUCAUUUUUGCUCAGUGCUAUGUGAUCGUAGCUAAAGGUAACGUUUUUAAAACACACGUUUCUUAAUUAUGAUUCAUCAGUGCGUGCUAUUCCAAAGGAAAAAAACUAUGUCUGAGUAAUCUUUAAUUAAAAUAAUUUUUAUUUUUAUUUGAUUUUAUAAUAGCUUUUAUUUUCAUCAUUACCCACCUGCCUAUUUUUCUCCCAUAAACCUACCAAUUCCUGGUUAAAAAGUCAAAUCCCCCUUUGAACGCCCUGUUUCACUUAGAACAGAUAAAUAAAAUGGGUUGCAAAUAGUUAUGCACAACAUUAAAAUUCUGGCUGAUAUGAAAAGUUGGGGUUUUUUUUAUGUUAUGGCUGGUAACUGAUAAAUGGCUGAUAUCAAAUUUCUAAAUGGUUGUUAAAAAUUGAAAUAUUUUAAAUGAAUAAACAAUAAAAACAGUUAAAAAUAAAACAGUAAUAACUUAAAUGCUACACAUUAGAAAAUGCAUUAUAAAAUAUAUACAUUCAUUUUGAGACUAUUAUAAUUUGUAUGAUUUUUAUCAAUUCAAAGUGAGUGUUAGAUUAUUGCAAAAGUAACUUCAAAUGUAAAAAUAGGGGAAAUGAACAUGCACAAUUGAAUAAGCAGCACUGACAGAUAUAGAUCAACAAAUUAAAAGCAAAAACAACCUAGUUAUGAACACUGUUUUUGUCAACUUUAAAAAAUUAGGCUGUACUAUAAUAUGCUUUGGAUAAAGAAUGGUUGCUACAUAUCAAAUAUAAAUUAUUAAUAUUAAGAAAAUUACUUUAAGCAAGCAUUAAACGAUGGCAAACGUAAUGAAUAUGUAAAAACAGGAAAUAAGCAUUCACAAUUAAAUAUCCAACAUUGGCUGAUAUAGAGCAAAUAUUGAUCGAUAUGAGGUUAUCCCUAGUUGUGGAUACUUUUUUUUGCUGACUUUAAAAAAUGAGGCUGUACUAUAAGAUGCUUUGAAUAAACAGUGUCAGCUAAACAUCAAGUAACAAUACACUUUGUAUAAUUAGAGCAAUGUAAUGCCAUCAGAAAAUUAUAACACUGUGAGAAACACUUGGUCUCUUGGUAACCUAGGAUACUGCUGAGAGAACCUUAACCAAAGACCUUGUAAUAGGGCACAUUGUAGAUAACUAUCUAGCAUUUAACAGUAUGCUGACAUUUUGAGCAGAGAAUGAUGUUUCUCAGAGUGUCGCAGCGUCUUCCUGCCUGCAGCAUGUGAAGAUUACACACAGAGGAAAUCACUAAUGCUUUGCAUCUCCAACAGACAGUGCACACCGAGACCAGAAACACCACGAGUCACCGCACACAACCAUAAACCUGUCUCUCUUUAUACCCGAUUGCUCCAUAAAUCUGCUGGAAGUCAUACUUUAACUUAAGAACUUUGAAUUUUUAAACAGCCUGGAUAUUAAUGAGAACGUUUAGUCAAAUUAGAAAGGAAGUACUACAAAUAAUCUUGCCACAACGACUAUACAACACAUCAAAAGGUGAUUUGACAGAAUUACAAGCGAAGCGCGUAGCAGAUGAGUAGUGCUCAAGUGAAUUCUAUAGCCUCAGGGUGAAUUCUCCACCAUCACCAUGCCACUUUUGUCUGUCAUUUACAGAUACUGUAAAAUCCCUCCUCUAAAUUAGACUAAACACAUAUGCACCAUCACUGCCCAGUCAAUUACAUUUCCCAUAACAUAAAAGUCACACAUUACAUGCCUCGGUAUAGACCAAAUCUCUAGUUCCUAGUGACAGGAGGCCUGUUGUGUCAAAGAAUCCCACAUAAAUCUACUCACCUGGCCAAGUGAAAUUCCUAAAACACGGAAUAGACUUUGACCUUUGACCACACACAGU